UGUGAGUCGUUGCAGCAAUGCAAGGCAGACGGCUCAGUAACACGUAGUCAACCUAACCUAUGGACGGGGAUAACCUCGGGAAACUGAGAAUAAUACCCGAUAGAUCAUGAUACCUGGAACGGUUUAUGGUCCAAAUGAUUUAUCGCCAUAGGAUGGGACUGCGGUCUAUCAGCUUGUUGGUGAGGUAAUGGCCCACCAAGGCUAUAACAGAUACGGGCUCUGAGAGGAGGGGCCCGGAGAUGGGUACUGAGACACGGACCCAGGUCCUAUGGGGCGCAGCAGGCGAGAAACCUUUGCAAUGUGCGAAAGCACGACAAGGUUAAUCCGAGUGAUUCCUGCUAAAGGAAUCUUUUGUUAGUCAUAAAACCACUGAUGAAUAAGGGGUGGGCAAGUUCUGGUGUCAGCCGCCGCGGUAAUACCAGCACCUCGAGUGGUCAGGAGGUUUAUUGGGCCUAAAGCAUCCGUAGCCGGCUGUUCAAGUUUCCGGUUAAAUCCACACGCUUAACGUAUGGGCUGCCGGAAAUACUGUUCAGCUAGGGAGUGGGAGAGGUAAACGGUACUCGAUAGGAAGGGGUAAAAUCCUUUGAUCUACUGAUGACCACCUGUGGCGAAGGCGGUCUACCAGAACACGUUCGACGGUGAGGGAUGAAAGCUGGGGGAGCAAACCGGAUUAGAUACCCGGGUAGUCCCAGCUGUAAACGAUGCAGACUCGGUGAUGCAUUGGCUUGUGGCCAGUGCAGUGCCGCAGGGAAGCCGUUAAGUUUGCCGCCUGGGAAGUACGUACGCAAGUAUGAAACUUAAAGGAAUUGGCGGGGGAGCACCACAAGGGGUGAAGCCUGCGGUUCAAUUGGAUUCAACGCCGGAAAGGGCGAAUUCCAG
rnacentral:rRNA from 1 species